GUGGGGAAUAUUGGGCAAUGGGCGAAAGCCUGACCCAGCAACGCCGCGUGAAGGAAGAAGGCUUUCGGGUUGUAAACUUCUUUUGUCAGGGACGAAAAAAAUGACGGUACCUGACGAAUAAGCCACGGCUAACUACGUGCCAGCAGCCGCGGUAAUACGUAGGUGGCAAGCGUUAUCCGGAUUUACUGGGUGUAAAGGGCGUGUAGGCGGGAAAGCAAGUCAGAUGUGAAAACUAUGGGCUCAACCCAUAGCCUGCAUUUGAAACUGUUUUUCUUGAGUACUGGGGAGGCAGAUGGAAUUCCUAGUGUAGCGGUGAAAUGCGUAGAUAUUAGGAGGAACACCAGUGGCGAAGGCGAUCUGCUGGACAGCAACUGACGCUGAGGCGCGAAAGCGUGGGGAGCAAACAGGAUUAGAUACCCUGGUAGUCC
rnacentral:rRNA from 1 species